rnacentral:rRNA from 1 species
UAAGCGACUAAGCGUACACGGUGGAUGCCCUGGCAGUCAGAGGCGAUGAAGGACGUGCUAAUCUGCGAUAAGCGUCGGUAAGGUGAUAUGAACCGUUAUAACCGGCGAUUUCCGAAUGGGGAACCCAGUGUGAUUCGUCACACUAUCAUUAACUGAAUCCAUAGGUUAAUGAGGCGAACCGGGGGAACUGAAACAUCUAAGUACCCCGAGGAAAAGAAAUCAACCGAGAUUCCCCCAGUAGCGGCGAGCGAACGGGGAGCAGCCCAGAGCCUGAAUCAGUAUGUGUGUUAGUGGAAGCGUCUGGAAAGGCGCGCGAUACAGGGUGACAGCCCCGUACACAAAAAUGCACAUGCUGUGAGCUCGAUGAGUAGGGCGGGACACGUGGUAUCCUGUCUGAAUAUGGGGGGACCAUCCUCCAAGGCUAAACACUCCUGACUGACCGAUAGUGAACCAGUACCGUGAGGGAAAGGCGAAAAGAACCCCGGCGAGGGGAGUGAAAAAGAACCUGAAACCGUGUACGUACAAGCAGUGGGAGCACAGAGCAAUCUGUGUGACUGCGUACCUUUUGUAUAAUGGGUCAGCGACUUAUAUUCUGUAGCAAGGUUAACCGAAUAGGGGAGCCGAAGGGAAACCGAGUCUUAACUGGGCGUUAAGUUGCAGGGUAUAGACCCGAAACCCGGUGAUCUAGCCAUGGGCAGGUUGAAGGUUGGGUAACACUAACUGGAGGACCGAACCGACUAAUGUUGAAAAAUUAGCGGAUGACUUGUGGCUGGGGGUGAAAGGCCAAUCAAACCGGGAGAUAGCUGGUUCUCCCCGAAAGCUAUUUAGGUAGCGCCUCGUGAAUUCAUCUCCGGGGGUAGAGCACUGUUUCGGCAAGGGGGUCAUCCCGACUUACCAACCCGAUGCAAACUGCGAAUACCGGAGAAUGUUAUCACGGGAGACACACGGCGGGUGCUAACGUCCGUCGUGAAGAGGGAAACAACCCAGACCGCCAGCUAAGGUCCCAAAGUCAUGGUUAAGUGGGAAACGAUGUGGGAAGGCCCAGACAGCCAGGAUGUUGGCUUAGAAGCAGCCAUCAUUUAAAGAAAGCGUAAUAGCUCACUGGUCGAGUCGGCCUGCGCGGAAGAUGUAACGGGGCUAAACCAUGCACCGAAGCUGCGGCAGCGACGCUUAUGCGUUGUUGGGUAGGGGAGCGUUCUGUAAGCCUGUGAAGGUGUGCUGUGAGGCAUGCUGGAGGUAUCAGAAGUGCGAAUGCUGACAUAAGUAACGAUAAAGCGGGUGAAAAGCCCGCUCGCCGGAAGACCAAGGGUUCCUGUCCAACGUUAAUCGGGGCAGGGUGAGUCGACCCCUAAGGCGAGGCCGAAAGGCGUAGUCGAUGGGAAACAGGUUAAUAUUCCUGUACUUGGUGUUACUGCGAAGGGGGGACGGAGAAGGCUAUGUUGGCCGGGCGACGGUUGUCCCGGUUUAAGCGUGUAGGCUGGUUUUCCAGGCAAAUCCGGAAAAUCAAGGCUGAGGCGUGAUGACGAGGCACUACGGUGCUGAAGCAACAAAUGCCCUGCUUCCAGGAAAAGCCUCUAAGCAUCAGGUAACAUCAAAUCGUACCCCAAACCGACACAGGUGGUCAGGUAGAGAAUACCAAGGCGCUUGAGAGAACUCGGGUGAAGGAACUAGGCAAAAUGGUGCCGUAACUUCGGGAGAAGGCACGCUGAUAUGUAGGUGAAGUCCCUCGCGGAUGGAGCUGAAAUCAGUCGAAGAUACCAGCUGGCUGCAACUGUUUAUUAAAAACACAGCACUGUGCAAACACGAAAGUGGACGUAUACGGUGUGACGCCUGCCCGGUGCCGGAAGGUUAAUUGAUGGGGUUAGCGCAAGCGAAGCUCUUGAUCGAAGCCCCGGUAAACGGCGGCCGUAACUAUAACGGUCCUAAGGUAGCGAAAUUCCUUGUCGGGUAAGUUCCGACCUGCACGAAUGGCGUAAUGAUGGCCAGGCUGUCUCCACCCGAGACUCAGUGAAAUUGAACUCGCUGUGAAGAUGCAGUGUACCCGCGGCAAGACGGAAAGACCCCGUGAACCUUUACUAUAGCUUGACACUGAACAUUGAGCCUUGAUGUGUAGGAUAGGUGGGAGGCUUUGAAGUGUGGACGCCAGUCUGCAUGGAGCCGACCUUGAAAUACCACCCUUUAAUGUUUGAUGUUCUAACGUUGACCCGUAAUCCGGGUUGCGGACAGUGUCUGGUGGGUAGUUUGACUGGGGCGGUCUCCUCCUAAAGAGUAACGGAGGAGCACGAAGGUUGGCUAAUCCUGGUCGGACAUCAGGAGGUUAGUGCAAUGGCAUAAGCCAGCUUGACUGCGAGCGUGACGGCGCGAGCAGGUGCGAAAGCAGGUCAUAGUGAUCCGGUGGUUCUGAAUGGAAGGGCCAUCGCUCAACGGAUAAAAGGUACUCCGGGGAUAACAGGCUGAUACCGCCCAAGAGUUCAUAUCGACGGCGGUGUUUGGCACCUCGAUGUCGGCUCAUCACAUCCUGGGGCUGAAGUAGGUCCCAAGGGUAUGGCUGUUCGCCAUUUAAAGUGGUACGCGAGCUGGGUUUAGAACGUCGUGAGACAGUUCGGUCCCUAUCUGCCGUGGGCGCUGGAGAACUGAGGGGGGCUGCUCCUAGUACGAGAGGACCGGAGUGGACGCAUCACUGGUGUUCGGGUUGUCAUGCCAAUGGCACUGCCCGGUAGCUAAAUGCGGAAGAGAUAAGUGCUGAAAGCAUCUAAGCACGAAACUUGCCCCGAGAUGAGUUCUCCCUGACUCCUUGAGAGUCCUGAAGGAACGUUGAAGACGACGACGUUGAUAGGCCGGGUGUGUAAGCGCAGCGAUGCGUUGAGCUAACCGGUACUAAUGAACCGUGAGGCUUAACCU